AUUUGGAAGGUGUUCUUAAUGUUUGGUUUACUCAGUGUAUAUCCCUUGAUUAUGACUUAUGCCUUAACUGUAGUAGCGUAACUGUGUUAUGAGAUCAUAACUAGAACAAUAUGAAACUAUUAAUGGAUAUAGUCAUGGGAGACUUUUAAAACUAAUGAUGUGGCUGGCCACCCCUUUACAACUCAAAAGACAUGGUUUUACAGAUAUUAAAAGUGAACAUGACAGUUUCGGUAAGCAAUUGCCCUCAAAUCAUUGAAGGAGAAAACCUAAAACCUCAGUUUUCAGUUACAGCAGCUGACAAUCUGCAGCGGAUGUUGUUUAUUUAAAGCAGAAUGCACCCAUCAACUCAGUGGCCUUGGGGUUAGUGUCGGCCCUGAGAUUGGAAGGUUGGGUUUGAGCCCCAGUUCAGUCAUACCAAAGACUCUAAAAAGCGUGACCUAAUGCAUCUCUGCUUGGCACUCCGCAUUAAGCAGAUGGAUUCAGGGUAAGGCAUUGUGACAGACUAGCAUCCUGUCUAAGGGGUAUACUUGUAUAUCAAGUUGCCUCACACUACUGAAACAGGAGAUAGGCUUCUGCCCAAUGGGCUGUCAUGGCUGGGACAAGGUGAAAUAUAAUGCACCCAGAGGUAACGUUGUUUCCCAUACGUUUUUCACCAAACCUAAACUUCUUCAACUUGUUAUGUUUACUAUGUGAAGUGCAAAGUUUAUACGUUGUUGACCCCGAAGGAUGGUGAAACUGAAUUCCUGACUGCGGGUUGUCCCGUUACGCAUCACAGAUAUGUCAAAGAAAACUAUUUAUAUUUGCAUUGGAAAAUGUGUAGUUUUUGCUCCAUUCUUUUUAAUAUAACUUUUCAUGACUAACUAUUUUUCUUCUUUCAGGCCGAGUGCAUGAUGUGAGAGUAGAGCUCUGCCAGUGUGAGCCGGAAGCAGUGCCAUUGGUCAGGUAUAUGAGCCAGAAGCAGUGUCAUUGGUCUCGCACACACCACCAGCCUCAGACUUCAGUGGUCUGCUGACUACUCAAGCCGAUAACCAGCCUGCAGCUUGAGAGUGGUGUUUCACUGAGGGCCAUAUGCCUGUCAUUCAAUUUUACUCAUAGGACAGUGCGUAAUCACUUUUAUAAUCUAAUUCUAUACUAUUUCUACUUUGUCUGCAAAAGUUCAUAACCAAAUUCCUGUUUCGAUAAACAGAUCUGUCAUAGAAACUAUGUGAAGAUGCAUUUGCUGUAUGUGUUGAUGUCCUACUCUGAUGGAAUGCAGUAAUUAAUCAGAGUGCCUUUAAGUGACUCUGUUCAUUCAUUUCAGGGGAGAGACUUGUAUACCGCCCUGACAAAUGAGGCCUAUGAGGAGUUCCGACAUACUUGACAUGUUGCGCCGUCUGGCCCCAGAAACUGCCGAUGGAACCCAGUGCCCGCUCUGGCCCAAGGUUUGUUGUAAUUGCUUUGGCCUAUUUCAUUUUUUAUCACCCCCAAAAAACACAUCAAAGCAUAAAAUAUCAAUUGUGAUGUCUCUCUCUUUUAUAAACACAAAGUAUCUAUUUGAAACAUCUCUGUUCCAUUUUUUGCCAAACAAAUUUACAGACGAACACACUUCUAGUCUUUCAUUUGAUUUGUUUAUUGGGAUCCCCAUGAUCUGUUACAAAGCAGCAGUUACUCUUCAUGGGGUCCAAAAACGCUAAAGUUGUAUCCAAGUAUAUUUGACAUCUCUUUACAGGACAAUGGAACAGUGGUGGUAGCAGAAAAUUGGCUUUUUGGUUUGCCUAGGAAAGUUGUCUGGAUCAGGUUAUGAGCCAUCAAAAUAUGAGGAAAAAGUACAAAAGUACUUUGCAAACCAAGCUGAUGUGGAUCGAUUCGUUUGUAAGCCCAUACCACCGACAGGGGUAAUACCUGAAUGUAAUAUGCACUUCUUUUUAAGGAUACCUUCCAUUAUUACCUUAUGCACAACUGGAAGGGAAUGUGAACAAAAUGUAGAAUUAUUUGAACUCAUGAUACCAAACCUCGCCACUAAUUCAUAUUUAAAUGAUGCAGUUGUCCCUCCACUUCAUCUGUUUGGCUCAGUGGUCUGAUGGUUGGAGACGGUAUGUUGGUCUUGUGUAUGUUGAAUGUAAUAUUAUUGGUUGUGUCAUGCAACAUCCAUUUAGGCACUGAACCUGGUACAACUGUGAUCUGCUUCAGGCAACAGCUCAGUACGUUAUACCUGUACUGUACUUGAAAUGUAAAAAAAAAACGUUUAAGGUUGCCAUGGAUUUCAAGCGGGCAACAACAUCAGGUCCAAACCCAAAAUAACGGAAUUGGACGAGACAGGCGUGUUGGGGCUUUCCUGCGAGAAUGAGGACCCGCUUCACUUCCUGAACAUGAAAAAGGGUGAAAGUUUUGUCAAAUGCAGUGUGCUUGCGGAGAGAGAUGAAGGAGGGUAUGAGAGGCAAGAACAUCAAUCUCAUCUUCAUGUAUGACAUUGCAUGCAAGAUGCAGCCACAUGUGCAAAGAAACUUUCCUGAAUUGAAGCAUAGGACCAAACUCGUUGUGCCAGUUUUCCAUGCUGAUGGACAUGACUUGCCAUGUCAGAUGAAAUUCAAGACUAGAUAUUUCGAAGGUGCUGGACUGGCAGAUGGGGAGCAGAUGGAGAAGUUGUGGUUGUACCUGAGGCGCUUUGGGAAGCUCACCAAAGAAAUGACGCCGUCCCAUUGUAUUGACCUCCUGACUGAUGCACUUCUCCACCAUGGGGAAAAGAUACGCCAGAGGCAACGUUAGUACACUUGGAAUUGUUAUUCAUUUACUUGAUGCUGCUUGACUCUAGUGAUGUUCCUAACAUUUCCUGUUUUUUUUGUUUUAGUGGACUCUCAGCCACAGAGGCUUUCCCGAGCAACAAAAGUUGCAACAUAGGCAGAAAGGGAAAUGGCAGAAAUUUGCAUAGUCUCUUCCAUGUAAUUAUUGUAUCAAUAAUCUAAUCAUUGAAUUUCAGUAUUGAUUAGAAAUGUUGUCACAUAUGUCACUGGUGUUAUGUUUUAAGAACAACUCUGGACAACAUUAGGGAUUGGGGCAGGAAUGUCAGUGUCACCCUUGAGAGGCAGACACCUGCUCUGUGCUGGGUGGAGAAAUACAGUGCCUUGCGAAAGUAUUCGGCCCCCUUGAACUUUUCGACCUUUUGCCACAUUUCAGGCUUCAAACAUAAAGAUAUAAAACUGUAAUUUUUUGUGAAGAA